rnacentral:rRNA from 1 species
AGAUUGAACGCUGGCGGCAGGCCUAACACAUGCAAGUCGAGCGGCAGCACGGGUACUUGUACCUGGUGGCGAGCGGCGGACGGGUGAGUAAUGCCUAGGAAUCUGCCUGGUAGUGGGGGAUAACGCUCGGAAACGGACGCUAAUACCGCAUACGUCCUACGGGAGAAAGCAGGGGACCUUCGGGCCUUGCGCUAUCAGAUGAGCCUAGGUCGGAUUAGCUAGUUGGUGGGUAAUGGCUCACCAAGGCGACGAUCCGUAACUGGUCUGAGAGGAUGAUCAGUCACACUGGAACUGAGACACGGUCCAGACUCCUACGGGAGCAGCAGUGGGAAUAUUGGACAAUGGGACGAAAGCCUGAUCCAGCCAUGCCGCGUGUGUGAAGAAGGUCUUCGGAUUAGUAAAGCUAACUUUAAGGUUGGAGGAAGGCUAGUUACUAAUACGUAU